CUGAAUAGCAUGGCAGUAGACUGCUACUAAUUUUCCCUUUGCAACCUGAACAGUAAAAGGUGAAGUCCGUCAGAAAGCAAUGACUGCUUCCCGAGAAGUGACUGGAGAUGAGAACCCGCUAUGCAAGCACUAAACUGAGACUGUGGUGAAGUAUC